rnacentral:lncRNA from 1 species
UAAUAGGUUAUAAAUUUUGUUGAUUACUCCCUUUUGAGAACCACAAUCAAGGGAUACCAGCUGGACACGAUUCAGUUGAGACACCAAUUGGGAACGAAUCAAAUGGCGCCGUUGCCGGGGAUGGUGCCACUUUAUAGUGAUAUCACAUUUUCAGAGUACUUGUGAUCUUCAUCACAAGUUUGGUGACUUUUCUUUUCCUUUUACUAAUUUUUUAUUUUAUUUGUUUCUUUUUCUUUGUUCAUAUUUUUAGUAUAGCUUUUAAUUAAUCUUAAUAAUUUUUUCUUCUCUAGAAUUUUUGUUUCUUUUAUUUUG